CUCUCGAUUCUUUCUUUUAGGCUUACCAUAAUAAAAUAUCUUUUUGGCACCAUUUUACUUGAAAAAAUAUUUAACUUAUCCUUUGACCAAGAUAUGUCUCUUCGAAAUGUUCCCUAUUCCUUGGUUCUUAGAUUUUUUUGGACAUCCUAUUCUGUGGUUCCGAAUGUCAUAUUGCAUCAUAAAAUCCCUCUUCCUAAGAUUAGAAAUCACAGUUGUCGAAGUUACCCCAUUUAGGUAUUCUUCUUAGCUUUCCCAAAUAGCCGAAGUUAUCCCGUUAUCGAAAUCCUAUUUGAUUGAGGUGAGAUUAUCAUAAUACUAAGAUUCAAGUAUAAAUUAAUUUCUUUACAGCUCAUUCUAAGUCUCUCUUUCACAUUAAAAAUCUUUCUUUCUAUUUUGACUUGUCCAAGAUCUAAACAUCUUUCCUAUUUGUAGAUGACCUUCUUA
rnacentral:lncRNA from 1 species